GCCACUGAGGAGCUCUAGCCCCAACACUGCUCCCCCGGCUGCUCCCUCCCUGAAUCCAGUGUGACAUUAGGGGACUCGCCUCUCCAGAGUAGGAAACUGAUACCCAGCAGCUGCGCCCCCCAAGCCCCCAGACUUGACUAGACCCAGAGUAUCCCUUUGGUUGGCCUGUGGGCGUCUUAGCCUCCAGAGAACACGGAUCCCUUUGAGAACCCAUGAAAAAGUGUUAACAUCCCGCAAAGACGCCGCGUGUACAGCCUUCCUCACAAGCCCCCAGUCAGGGUGCCUGAUCUGGACAGGAACAAGCACGUGUCCGGCCCACCGCCUCCCUGGCAAUCAGGACCCCCACCAGCUGGGCUGCUCCCCAGGCCCCAAGUCGCGGGUCCAGGAUCUCAACAACCGCCCCUAAUUAAUGCUUCCAAGUGCGGGGACAGGCCGCCGCGCAAGACCGUGCCGGAAGCCAGGAGGUGCGUCUUCUCCGCCUCAGGGUCCGGCCCGGGCCUUCCCUGGAGCGGCGCCCGCGGCCCGCCCUCCGCCCCCGGCGCAGCUUGGUUACCUCUGCGAGGCGCGGAGGCGGAAGGGAGCAGGGGCGCGCCGGAGUCCGCGCGGGGCCGCCGCCGCCCCCCACGCCCGCCCGAGGAUCCGCAUGUGUCCGGGGGUCGGGGGUCGGAGGUCAGCGCGGGGUCGGGCCGGGGCCUCUCCAGGGAGAGACGGGCCGCUCAAAUGCCGCGCGGAGAGGGCUCCCCGCGCCCCCGGCCCCCGUGCUUUCUCGGGCCCAGGAACCGUCCGCCAAGCGGUCACCGGCUGGGGGACCCCAAAAACGCCGCGGGGUCGCCGCGCCCCCCUCCCCGGCCCGCUCCCGCUCCCGCUCCCGCUCUGCCCCGGACCCCGGACCUCACCUCCGGGGCCUCCACCGCUGACCAGAGGACCGAGCUGCGUCUUCCGCCCGGGCAGGGGGUGGGGUCACGUCCUGGGGCGGGGCCUUGGAGAGUGGGGGCCGGGCGGGCCCAGGGUCCCGCGCCAGCUCGCCCUCGCCCACCGAACCCCGGCGGGAGGACAUUAGACCCCGGGACGGGCCCGCCCGCCAUCCCUCCCCGGCUUGGCCCCGGGUCUUUUUCUGAGACGCGCGCCGAGCCUGCGCCCCCAGUUAAACCUUCGCCGCUUUCCGCUGAACUCUGGGGAAAAGAUGGAAAUUAUCUGUCCUGGCUGUGAUGAAAUGCGUCAGUGUGUAAGCAGAUACGGUAGGUUUCCUGGGAGAGAGAACCAGGCAUGGUUUUCUUAUCAGAAGAGAAGCCAUUUUUUGGCCUAAGCCGUUUUGUGAUCUAAGGUGGGCCACAAUGCUUGCCCUUGAACAGGUCUCAGUAAUUGAUGGUCUUAAGGGAACAAAAGAACGCAGAAACAAACGACUGUAAUCAGACAAGAGAAGUAACAACAGCCAAAAUAAUGUACCAGUUGUAAAGACUCCCGGUUCUGUUUCAAUGGUGACGAUUAGCCUGAAGCCGCAACCACCAGACCUACCGGAAUCUAAGGGGUGAAGAUGACCUUUUCUGACCCUCCUGACUUCAAUCAAAUAAACCCUGGACUCUGCAGGGAGACACUGCUUUGGAGAAGAUCCCCAGUGUUCCCCUUACUUGCAGCAGGUAAUAAAUCCUUCCUUCUCCGGA